CCCUUAGAUGUUCUGGGCGGCCCGCGCACUACAAUGGCGCUUUCAGCGAGUUCCUAUGUUGAAUUUUCCUGGGUAUUCUUGGAAGCGGCGUCUUGACUUGGGAUAGAUCCUUGUAAUUGUUGGUUUUGAACGAGGAAUUCCUUGUAAUCGCGGUUGAUCGGCUCGCGUUGAAUACGUCCCUGCCCUUUGUACACACCGCCCGUCGCUCCUACCGAUGAAUCGUCCGGUGAAGUUCACAGAGUGGCGGUUCGUGGAGUUGCUCGCGAAGUGAAAUGGACCUCACGAUUUAGAGGAAGGAGAAGUCGUAACA
rnacentral:rRNA from 1 species